CCUCAGCCCCUUCUCCUCAUGGCACAUCAUCGGUUCGCAGGGCACCGGGUGCUGGAGGGGCAGUCUCGCAAAAUAAACAGCAAAUGUUUCAAGAAGUUGCCUUUUAUCCCACAUAACUUUUUCUAUAACUUACAAAAAAAUAACGCAUCGGAUCCACGCCGGCCGUGGUUCAGCCCGCCAUGUUUUGCGGAGUCCCCCUGCACGUUCUCAGCAUGCCCUGCUUGCUCUUGGUGCCUUGCGUGUCUUUCUGCACCUCACUCCAAAUUCCCGGUCUCUCUCCCGCCCUUUUUUUGGGAGGGUUUUCCUCACUAUUUUCACCGCCGAGGCUGCAGGGACAUAGAAACUUGAUGUAUUGCAGCACCAUCUGCUGGUUCCUAUUAGCGAGGGGCUGCUGCUUUAAAAAUGUUCCAUUCUCACAAAGCCUGGAAUUAUGCUCUCAAACCUACCACGGGUCAGCAGAACAGUGGAGACAUCUGAUGUAGCCACGCCAGCAAAGUCAAAAGCAGACAUGUCAAAGAAACAAGAGCUUUAAUGACUUUUAAUUAAGCAAGGUACCUUUCCAGCCAAAAGAGCGUACUGAUGGACCAAGAUGGGGCCUUAAGCCAAAGCAUCACUGGGUC